UACAGAGGUCCCAAGCGUUGUUCGGAUUCACUGGGCGUAAAGGGUGCGUAGGUGGCCGGGUAAGUUUGAUGUGAAAUCUCCGGGCUUAACCCGGAAACUGCAUUGAAUACUAUCCUGCUCGAGGUUUGGAGGGGGGACUGGAAUUCUCGGUGUAGCAGUGAAAUGCGUAGAUAUCAAGAGGAACACCAGUGGCGAAGGCGAGUCCCUGGACAACUUCUGACGCUGAGGCACGAAAGCUAGGGGAGCAAACAGG
rnacentral:rRNA from 1 species